rnacentral:miRNA from 12 species
UGACAGUCAUUUGUAGCAGUAU